rnacentral:rRNA from 1 species
CGAGCACGCGCGUGUGGCAUAUCAAUAAGCGGAGGAAAAGAAACUAACAAGGAUUCCCUUAGUAACGGCGAGUGAAGCGGGAAGAGCUCAAAUUUGAAAUCUUCAAGGUUCUACCUUGACGAAUUGUAGUUUAUAGAAGUGUUUUCUGUUAGUGGAGUGGCAAAAGUUCUUUGGAAUAGGACAUCAUAGAGGGUGAGAAUCCCGUAUUUGGUCAUUCCUCCUAGCGUUGUGAUACACUUUCAACGAGUCGGAUUGUUUGGGAAUGCAGUCCAAAAUGGGUGGUAAAUUUCAUCUAAAGCUAAAUAUUGGCGAGAGACCGAUAGCGAACAAGUACCGUGGGGGGAAGAUGAAAAGAACUUUGAAAAGAGAGUUAAACAGUACGUGAAAUUGUCAAAAGGGAAGCGUUUGACACCAGUGUUGUUUUUCCGAAAAUCAAUUACGAAUGUUUUGUUUUUAGGGAGUUAUGACUUCAUCGGCUUGCUUCUUUCUUUAUGAAACUUUCUUAAUGCACUUUUCGGUUAACAAGUCAACAUCAAUUUCUUUUGUUGUAAAAGGGUAUGAGGAAGGUGGCUUUCUUUUCGGAGAAAGUGUUUAUAGCCUUGUAGCCUCUGCAAUCGGAGAGAUUGAGGUCUGCAGCGUAGAUCCUUCGGGGUUAGAUACGUUUGUGCUAAGUUAUAGCUUUUCAUAGACAACUUGUUGACUACGUUAGUCUUGUAGCUUACUCGCUGAUGCUAUUUUACCUACGCUUAGGAUGUUGAUGUGAUACUGCGAGCA